GACGAACGCUGGCGGCGUGCCUACACAUGCAAGUCGAACAGAGAUUUCAGCAAUGGAAUCUUAGUGGCGAACGGGUGAGUAACGCGUAGACAACCUACCUUCUAGAUGGGGACAACACUGCGAAAGUGGUGCUAAUACCGAAUGUUGUAUGUGAAACGCCUGUUUCACAUACUAAAGGUGGCCUCUAUUUAUAAGCUACCACUAGAAGAUGGGCCUGCGUCUGAUUAGCUAGUUGGUGAGGUAAUGGCUCACCAAGGCGACGAUCAGUAGCCGGUCUGAGAGGAUGAACGGCCACACUGGGACUGAGACACGGCCCAGACUCCUACGGGAGGCAGCAGUGGGGAAUCUUCCGCAAUGGACGAAAGUCUGACGGAGCAACGCCGCGUGAGUGAAGAAGGUUUUCGGAUCGUAAAACUCUGUUUUCAGGGACGAAUGUGCAAUAUGUGAAUAAUGUGUUGUAAUGACGGUACCUGACAAGAAAGCCACGGCUAACUACGUGCCAGCCGCCGCGGUAA
rnacentral:rRNA from 1 species